AUGGCCGGAAGGAAGGGCGGCGACAGGAAGAAGGCGGUGACCCGCUCCGUAAAGGCCGGGCUCCAGUUCCCCGUCGGCCGCAUCGGGCGCUACCUCAAGAAGGGCCGCUACGCCCAGCGCGUCGGCUCCGGCGCCCCCGUCUACCUCGCCGCCGUCCUCGAGUACCUCGCCGCCGAGGUCCUGGAGCUUGCAGGCAACGCUGCCAAGGACAACAAGAAGACGCGCAUCAUCCCGCGCCACCUGCUGCUCGCCGUCCGCAACGACCAGGAGCUCGGCAGGCUGCUCGCUGGCGUGACCAUCGCCCACGGUGGCGUGAUCCCCAACAUCAACUCUGUGCUGCUCCCCAAGAAGUCCGCCGCAGCCGAGAAGGAGGCCAAGUCGCCCAAGAAGAAGGCCGCCACCAAGUCCCCCAAGAAGAAGGCCGCCGCCACCAAGGAGUAG
rnacentral:rRNA from 1 species